AAUCGUUUUUAGUUUAGCAACGAGAAUCAUAAUUAUUAACCAGAAGAAAUAGUGGAGGAGAUUCAGAAGAAAAUCGGAAGCUGCUGAUUUUCCUCUCAAGUUAGUUCCCAGUCACCUCCAGCAAAUCCUUCUCUUACAAGAUAGGACCAUCACUACCACCAGUACAACCGCUAACCAGAGUAGUGACCAAUGCCACUAGCGACCACACUGACACUAUUACCAUUUCCAACAGCAUUAGCAUGAGUAUUGGCGUUACUGCACAGUAACGUGCCCAUGAGUAGAAGAACAGUAAGCAGAGUAUAGUUUGGGAUCACUUUGAAAGUUUAGAAAUAGGCCAAGGUAUUAUGUACGUACUUAUUAUUUUUGUCAUGUCAACUCACAUAUUGUGCACAUAGAUCAGCUCCUAUGUCAUCAGGAAGCAAAUUUGUCUAAACAGUACCUUCCUUCUGCAUCGCCAAACAUCAUAUACAAUAUAUCAAGUAUCCAAUGCGAUUAUGUUUCCCCC